GAUCGGGUUGGGAGGCCCCGGGCCCGCCCCACGCCUCAUCAGCUGGAGUCGGAUUUUCUUGGGCCUGAGGCGCUGAAGCGCUGUUAUUUUGGGGGCGGGGAGAAGAGGCGAGUCUAUGGAGGGUUGAAGACGGCCCGAAGGGCUUGACUAAGGUCCGCCCUUGCUUAAUGAGUGAUCAAUCGGGACCUAACCGCGGGCCGCACAGCCCUCGGGACGGUGGGCUCUAGAAUCCAGGAGUACUUGGCAAAGUCAUGCCCCGAGGGUUGAGUCUGCGAAUCCUGCUCUGUGGCCCGCCCCGGCUGCCGCGCUCGCCGGCUGCCGCUGUCGGCAAAACCCGGCUCCGGUCGGGCCUCACUGAGCGGCCCCCUAGGAACGUGCACUUCGCUCACUGUUGAGGAAAGCGUCAGUCUCCCCAGUUUUCCGCUCCUUAAAAGUACAGUGAAAGGGGUUCAAAGGCCGGUCACUCCACGGCGUGUAGCCCCGUCCGCGUCCCGCUCGGUCCCAGGAAGAGCCCCCAGUGGUCCCCCGCGGACCCCGCCCGGCCAGCCCGGCCCGCCCCCCUCCCCGGCCGCCGCGAACACCCGGAGGAGCGGACUCUCGUCGCGCGGGAAGCCGGGCCGGCUCGGCCGCGGACUGGGCAUGCUCCGCAGCCCGGGAGGCUCGCGGUGGCAAGUCGGCAGCGUUCGCACCAGCGAGCCGGGCAGCGGCGGCAGGCAGGAGGCGAACAGGAAGGGCCGGCCCUGGCAGACGGCUCUCGCCCUGCGCCCCACGAGCCGGCCAGAGAACGCGACUGGGGUGCGAAGCCCCGACGCUGCUCUGCCCCGGAUUUCAUUCCGCGGCUGGGGGCUCGGAGAGCGGAAUUCCGGCGGCUGCCGCGACUCCCCAUGCAAGGUGAAGGCAGCAUGAGUGAUUCCUGAAUGUGCCUUUGGGCAUAUUUAACAGGCUUUUGAUUAGGACAAAGAGAACAGCCACCCACACUGGAAAGGUGAGUAAAGAUUUCUUUUUUGUAUAACAGUUUUCAAACACCCUGAAGAGUUGAAAGAAUGUACAAUGAGUUCCUGUGUACUCACUCUGAAAAGUUAAGAUUUGUUAGCAUUUUGCCACAUUUUCAAUGUGUAUGUAGGUUUGUACUUUUUCCUUAUUCUUUGUUUUUUUUGCUGAAACGUGUGAAAGUUAGUUGCAGACAUCAUGACAUUUUCUUCUAAAUUCUUGGGAAUAUAGCUGCUAAAAAUAAAGAUAUUCUCCCUUGAGAGACA
rnacentral:lncRNA from 1 species